rnacentral:rRNA from 1 species
AUGAACGCUGGCGGCGUGCCUAAUACAUGCAAGUCGAACGAAUCUCUUUUAGAGAUGAGUGGCGAACGGGUGAGUAAUACAUAGGUAACCUGCCCCUGUGCGGGGGAUAACAGGAGGAAACUCCUGCUAAUACCGCAUAGCCAUGAGCACCGCAUGGAGCUCAUGCCAAAUAUCCUUUCGGGGAUAGCGCAGGGAUGGACCUAUGGCGCAUUAGCUGGUUGGCGGGGCAACGGCCCACCAAGGCAACGAUGCGUAGCCGGCCUGAGAGGGCGGACGGCCACAUUGGGACUGAGACACGGCCCAGACUCCUACGGGAGGCAGCAGUAGGGAAUUUUCGGCAAUGGGGGAAACCCUGACCGAGCAACGCCGCGUGAGCGAAGAAGGCCUUCGGGUCGUAAAGCUCUGUUGUAAAGGAAGAACGGCGCAUACAGGAAAUGGUAUGCGAGUGACGGUACUUUACCAGAAAGCCACGGCUAACUACGUGCCAGCAGCCGCGGUAAUACGUAGGUGGCGAGCGUUAUCCGGAAUCAUUGGGCGUAAAGAGGGAGCAGGCGGCCGCAAGGGUCUGUGGUGAAAGACCGAAGCUAAACUUCGGUAAGCCAUGGAAACCGGGCGGCUAGAGUGCGGAAGAGGAUCGUGGAAUUCCAUGUGUAGCGGUGAAAUGCGUAGAUAUAUGGAGGAACACCAGUGGCGAAGGCGACGGUCUGGGCCGCAACUGACGCUCAUUCCCGAAAGCGUGGGGAGCAAAUAGGAUUAGAUACCCUAGUAGUCCACGCCGUAAACGAUGGUCACUAAGUGUCGGGGGUCAAACCCCGGUGCUGCAGUCAACGCAAUAAGUGACCCGCCUGAGUAGUACGUUCGCAAGAAUGAAACUCAAAGGAAUUGACGGAAGG